GGGCGAUUAGCUCAGCUGGCUAGAGCGACUGGUUUACACCCAGUAGGUCGGGGGUUCAAGUCCCUCAUCGCCCA
rfam:Lentisphaera araneosa HTCC2155 1101329224534, whole genome shotgun sequence.